rnacentral:rRNA from 1 species
UACGUAGGUGGCGAGCGUUGUCCGGAAUUACUGGGUGUAAAGGGCGCGUAGGCGGGAAUGCAAGUCAGAUGUGAAAUACCAAGGCUUAACUUUGGAACUGCAUCUGAAACUGUGUUUCUUGAGUGUCGGAGAGGAAAGCGGAAUUCCCCGUGUAGCGGUGAAAUGCGUAGAUAUGGGGAGGAACACCGGUGGCGAAGGCGGCUUUCUGGACGAUAACUGACGCUGAGGCGCGAAAGCGUGGGUAGCAAACAGG